GCUAGGGAUUCAGUGGUAGAGCACUUGCCUAGCAUGCAUGAGACCCUGGGUUCAGUCCCCAGUAUUGUA
rnacentral:tRNA from 1 species